GCAGUCGAGCGGUAAGGCCCUUCGGGGUACACGAGCGGCGAACGGGUGAGUAACACGUGGGUGAUCUGCCUCGCACUCUGGGAUAAGCCUGGGAAACUGGGUCUAAUACCGGAUAUGACCACGGAUCGCAUGGUUUGUGGUGGAAAGAUUUAUCGGUGCGAGAUGGGCCCGCGGCCUAUCAGCUUGUUGGUGGGGUAAUGGCCUACCAAGGCGACGACGGGUAGCCGACCUGAGAGGGUGACCGGCCACACUGGGACUGAGACACGGCCCAGACUCCUACGGGAGGCAGCAGUGGGGAAUAUUGCACAAUGGGCGAAAGCCUGAUGCAGCGACGCCGCGUGAGGGAUGACGGCCUUCGGGUUGUAAACCUCUUUCGACAGGGACGAAGCGCAAGUGACGGUACCUGUAGAAGAAGCACCGGCCAACUACGUGCCAGCAGCCGCGGUAAUACGUAGGGUGCGAGCGUUGUCCGGAAUUACUGGGCGUAAAGAGCUUGUAGGCGGUUCGUCGCGUCGAUUGUGAAAACUUGCAGCUCAACUGCAAGCUUGCAGUCGAUACGGGCGGACUAGAGUACUUCAGGGGAGACUGGAAUUCCUGGUGUAGCGGUGAAAUGCGCAGAUAUCAGGAGGAACACCGGUGGCGAAGGCGGGUCUCUGGGAAGUAACUGACGCUGAGAAGCGAAAGCGUGGGUAGCGAACAGGAUUAGAUACCCUGGUAGUCCACGCCGUAAACGGUGGGUACUAGGUGUGGGUUUCCUUCCACGGGAUCCGUGCCGUAGCUAACGCAUUAAGUACCCCGCCUGGGGAGUACGGCCGCAAGGCUAAAACUCAAAGGAAUUGACGGGGGCCCGCACAAGCGGCGGAGCAUGUGGAUUAAUUCGAUGCAACGCGAAGAACCUUACCUGGGUUUGACAUACACCAGAAAGCCGUAGAGAUACGGCCCCCCUUGUGGUUGGUGUACAGGUGGUGCAUGGCUGUCGUCAGCUUGUCGUGAGAUGUUGGGUUAAGUCCCGCAACGAGCGCAACCCUUAUCUUAUGUUGCCAGCGCGUAAUGGCGGGGACUCGUGAGAGACUGCCGGGGUCAACUCGGAGGAAGGUGGGGACGACGUCAAGUCAUCAUGCCCCUUAUGUCCAGGGCUUCACACAUGCUACAAUGGCCGGUACAGAGGGCUGCGAUACCGUGAGGUGGAGCGAAUCCCUUAAAGCCGGUCUCAGUUCGGAUCGGGGUCUGCAACUCGACCCCGUGAAGUUGGAGUCGCUAGUAAUCGCAGAUCAGCAACGCUGCGGUGAAUACGUUCCCGGGCCUUGUACACACCGCCCGUCACGUCAUGAAAGUCGGUAACACCCGAAGCCGGUGGCCUAACC
rnacentral:rRNA from 1 species